rnacentral:rRNA from 1 species
CCUACGGGAGGCAGCAGUGGGGAAUUUUCCGCAAUGGGCGAAAGCCUGACGGAGCAAUACCGCGUGAGGGAGGAAGGUCCUUGGAUUGUAAACCUCUUUUAUCAGGGAAGAAAAAAAUGACGGUACCUGAUGAAUAAGCAUCGGCUAACUCCGUGCCAGCAGCCGCGGUAAUACGGAGGACGCGAGCGUUAUCCGGAAUUAUUGGGCGUAAAGCGUCCGUAGGUGGUUUUGCAAGUCUGCCGUCAAAGAAUGGAGCUCAACUCCAUAGAGGCGGUGGAAACUGUGAGACUAGAGUACAGUAGGGGUAGCAGGAAUUCCCAGUGUAGCGGUGAAAUGCGUAGAUAUUGGGAAGAACAUCGGUGGCGAAAGCGUGCUACUGGGCUGAAACUGACACUGAGGGACGAAAGCUAGGGUAGCGAAAGGGAUUAGAUACCCCAGUAGUC